UACGUAGGGGGCAAGCGUUGUCCGGAUUUAUUGGGCGUAAAGAGCUCGUAGGCGGUUCAGUAAGUCGGGUGUGAAACCUCCAGGCUCAACCUGGAGACGCCACCUGAUACUGCUGUGGCUAGAGUCCGGUAGGGGAGCAUGGAAAUUCCUGGUGUAGCGGUGAAAUGCGCAGAUAUCAGGAGGAACACCAGUGGCGAAGGCGGUGCUCUGGGCCGGAACUGACGCUGAGGAGCGAAAGCGUGGGGAGCAAACAGG
rnacentral:rRNA from 1 species